rnacentral:lncRNA from 1 species
UGGGUGUGGGGGGUGUGUGUGCAUGUGCACAUGGUGUGUGUGCUGUUUGGUUUCUGUGGGGUGUGUGUGCGUGUGCACAUGGUGUGGUGUGUGCGGUGUGGUGUGUGCAGUGUGUGUGCUAUGAAUGACUGCUUCUCUGAGCAUGUGGACAUCAGUCUUCCAGACCAGCUUUCUCCAUGUGUCUGGGAACAAAAGAAAAAAGUUUCUGCAAUAAUUGUUAUGCGACUUUCCCAGAGAGGGACCACAUUUCUGUCUUGAGUGGGUGUCUGCGUCAUUUCGCAGGAGGGUAUGUGAUGUCCUGGCUUGGCUCACACCCUCUGUGGGUUUAGGCAGGGUUCCUGCUGGAUCCCUCACUGUGGCCAGAGAGGGAGGGCUCUGUUUCACCACAGGGCACCAGAAGAGGACUGGUGUGUGGGAAGACCAGGUAAUCAUAAUACUAUUAAUAAUAGCAGUAAUCAUACUGUUUUAUACAUUGUACAUGUCAUAAGGA